rnacentral:rRNA from 1 species
UAUGUGAUCGUCUCUCGCAUAUCAAUAAGCGGAGGAAAAGAAACUAACAAGGAUUCCCCUAGUAACGGCGAGUGAAGCGGGAAGAGCUCAAAUUUGAAAUCUUAAAGGGUUUCCCUUUACGAAUUGUAGUUUAAAGAAGUGUUUUCUGUUGAGGUUUUGGUAAAAGUUCUUUGGAAUAGGACAUCAUAGAGGGUGAGAAUCCCGUAUUUGACCUUUACUUUCAACUUUGUGAUACACUUUCAAAGAGUCGGAUUGUUUGGGAAUGCAGUCCAAAAUGGGUGGUAAAUUUCAUCUAAAGCCUAAAUAUUGGCGAGAGACCGAUAGCGAACAAGUACCGUGAGGGAAAGAUGAAAAGAACUUUGAAAAGAGAGUUAAACAGUACGUGAAAUUGUCAAAAGGGAAGCGUUUGACACCAGUGUUGUUUUUCUGAAAAUCAAUUAAAGAACUGUUUAUGCUAAGUUGUUUAGACUUUAUCAGCUAACUGUUUAGUUUUGAGCUUUUCUUUAAUGCACUUUUCAGUUAACAAGUCAACAUCAAUUUCUUUUGCUGCUAAAAAAGCUUGAGGAAGGUGGCUUGAGAUUCGUCUUAAGUGUUUAUAGCCUCUUGCCUAUGCAGUCGGAGAGAUUGAGGUCUGCAGCGUAGAUCCUUCGGGGCUAAAUGCAUUUGUGCUAAGUUAUAGCAUUUUAUAGACAACUUGUUGACUAUGAUUUGUCUUGUAGCUUACUCGCUUAUGUUAUUUUACCUACGCUUAGGAUGUUGAUCUACAGAGCGAGAGU